rnacentral:rRNA from 1 species
AGUGAACGCUGGCGGUAGGCCUAACACAUGCAAGUCGAACGGCAGCACAGGAGAGCUUGCUCUCUGGGUGGCGAGUGGCGGACGGGUGAGGAAUACAUCGGAAUCUACUAUGUCGUGGGGGAUAACGUAGGGAAACUUACGCUACUACCGCAUACGACCUAAGGGUGAAAGCAGGGGACCUUCGGGCCUUGCGCGAUUGAAUGAGCCGAUGUCGGAUUAGCUAGUUGGCGGGGUAAGGCCCACCAAGGCGACGAUCCGUAGCUGGUCUGAGAGGAUGAUCAGCCACACUGGAACUGAGACACGGUCCAGACUCCUACGGGAGGCAGCAGUGGGGAAUAUUGGACAAUGGGCGCAAGCCUGAUCCAGCCAUACCGCGUGUGUGAAGAAGGCCUUCGGGUUGUAAAGCCCUUUUGUUGGGAAAGAAAUCCAGCUGGCUAAUACCCGGUUGGGAUGACGGUACCCAAAGAAUAAGCACCGGCUAACUUCGUGCCAGCCGCCGCCGUAA